AAAAAUGGCGGACGACAUGGACCAGCAACAAACUACCAACACUGUAGAAGAGCCCCUGGAUCUUAUCAGGCUCAGCCUGGAUGAGCGAAUUUAUGUGAAAAUGAGAAAUGACAGAGAGCUUAGAGGUAGAUUACAUGCUUAUGAUCAACAUUUAAAUAUGAUAUUGGGAGAUGUGGAAGAAACUGUGACUACUAUAGAAAUUGAUGAAGAAACAUAUGAAGAGAUAUAUAAAUCAACAAAACGGAAUAUUCCAAUGCUUUUUGUCUGGGGAGAUGGUGUUGUCCUAGUUGCCCCUCCAUUGAGAGUUGGUUGAAACAAAGAAUAUAUCCUGUGUGGAAAUUAGGAGACUUUAUAUGAUUGCGUCUUUAAAGGUAGAAGAUAUUCAAAAGAGAAACCUGCGUAAAUUUUGAUAUUAAGAAAUGACCAAGGAUUCUUCUGCUCCUGAAAUGAGUUUAUUUGCACAUAACUCACAAAUUCUAAAGCUAAAUGGCAUUUUUAUUUUUCUCCAACCCUUCCAAUAAAUGUGAUCACAAAAACGCA